rnacentral:rRNA from 1 species
AGUGAACGCUGGCGGUAGGCCUAACACAUGCAAGUCGAACGGCAGCACAGUAAGAGCUUGCUCUUACGGGUGGCGAGUGGCGGACGGGUGAGGAAUACAUCGGAAUCUACUUUUUCGUGAGGGAUAACGUAGGGAAACUUACGCUGAUACCGCAUACGACCUACGGGUGAAAGCAGGGGAUCUUCGGACCUUGCGCGAGUACAUGAGCCGAUGUCGGAUUAGCUGGUUGGGGGGGUUAAGGCCCACCACGGCGACGAUCCGUCGCUGGUCUGAGAGGAUGAUCGGCCACACGAGAGCUGAGACAGGCACCAGGCUCCUACGAGAGGCAGCAGUGUGGAAUAUGAGGCAGUGGGCGCGAGCCUGGUCCAACCGUACCGCGUGUGUUGAAGCGGCGUUCGGGUUGUAAAGCCGUUUUGUGGGGAGAGAAAAUCAGCAGGUUAAGACCCCGCUGAUCUGACGGUACCCGAAGAAUAAGCACCGGCUAACUUCGUG